rnacentral:snRNA from 1 species
GUGCUCAGUUCGGCAGUACAUGUUCUAAAAUUGGAAUGAUACAGAGAUUAGCAUGGCCCCUGCCCAAGGAUGACACGCAAAUUUGUGAAGUGUUCCAAAUUUUU